rnacentral:rRNA from 1 species
UACGGGGGGGGUAAGCGUUGUUCGGAAUUACUGGGCGUAAAGGGCUCGUAGGCGGCCAACUAAGUCGGACGUGAAAUCCCUCAGCUUAACUGGGGAACUGCGUCCGAUACUGGAUGGCUUGGAUUUGGGAGAGGGAUGCGGAAUUCCAGGUGUAGCGGUGAAAUGCGUAGAUAUCUGGAGGAACACCGGAGGCGAAAGCGGUCCACUGGGCAACUUCUGACGCUGAGGUGCGAAAGCUAGGGUAGCAAACGGG